UGAAGGGUAGGGCUAUUCCAGGAUAGUUAUUCUUUGGUGGCCGGAUGUUGGGGAGGUCAGAGAAUAAGUGAGGACAUCGGUUUCCAGGAUUUUAUGGCAAAGACAAACAUAUCAGCCCACUUUUUGAUAUAUUUAAAAUGCUUAGGGGCAAAACCAUAAUUGAAAGGAAUAAUUUUACUCCAUUCAUUUGAUGGAAAAGAUCGUCCAAAUAAAUCCAAUUUUUGGACUUAUCUGAAUAAGACUAUUCCAUGAUCGUUUUGGAGCUUUCUGUUGGAAGUAAACCAAUAUAAGUCGUCUAAGUGACUAGGAUUUGGUUUUGGCUAGAGUUCUUACUUGUUUGGGAGUUUUAUUAGGUUAGUGAUUGGAUUACUUUAGAUUGGAUUAGAACUAUACUAGAAGUGGUGUCUUUGACAGCGACUCAGUUGAAAUAGAAUUUGUUUAGCGCUGGGAACCG
rnacentral:lncRNA from 1 species